rnacentral:rRNA from 1 species
GACGAACGCUGGCGGCGUGCUUAACACAUGCAAGUCGAACGGAAAGGCCCUGAUCUUGCGGGGUGCUCGUGUGGCGAACGGGUGAGUAACACGCGUGUAACCUGUCCCUGACUUUGGGAUAUCUUCAGGAAACUGGGGCUAUUAUCGGAUAUGAGCUCCUGCUGCACGGUGGGGGUUGGAGAGAUUCGGCGGUUGGGGAUGGACUCGCGGCUUAUGAGCUUGUUGGUGGGGUAGGGGCUUACCAAGGCUUUGACGGGUAGCCGGCCUGAGAGGGUGACCGGCCACCAUGGGACUGAGAUACGGACCAGACUCCUACGGGAGGCAGCAGGGGGGAAUAUUGCACAAUGGGCGGAAGCCUGAUGCAGCAACGCCGCGUGCGGGAUGACGGCCUUCGGGUUGUAAACCGAUUUCGCCUGUGACGAAGCGAGAGUGACGGUAAUGGGUAAAAAAGCACCGGCUAACUACGUG